UCGACCAAGGGCUAUGAUGUAGCAGCGGUGGAGAGUAAGUCCAAUCUUACGGCUUCAUCCCACCCCGGCAGCAGAUGAGCGCUGGCGAAUGUUCUCAGCCACCUGGAGGAGGAGGUUUAGCGCGGAAGAAAUGUUACCAGAUUUCGCCGAUCUGGUGCCUGGACUUUUUUGGUAAUCUCAGAGAUUGGGUGUGCAGAUGGGCGGUUGGAGUUCUGGGAGGGAACGACUGGUAACUUUAAGGGUAUAUAUGACAAAAACACCCACAACAAUGGGGUAACGAACAUAAAGCUCGCCGGUGACAAAGUGAUAGUCGCACGGUUGAGUGGACGAAUCGAUUCUCUGAGACUGGAAACGUACACGCAAGGUUGUCAGAUCGAUUGGGGAUUUACGUCUGCAUAUGGGCGAACUCACGUACGCACCGGUUCGGCAGGAAGCAUUAGUUUAUUUCAGCAAUCCGUCCACAACGUUGCCAGCUCAACAUAACGCAUCCGAGGAGGAGCUUCGAUGUAUCCUGGAGUUUCACCAGCAGGGUCACCGGUGACAUGUUUGGAAGUGGCGGGCGGUACAGUCAUGACUGGCAGCCAGGGUCACACUGUUAAAGUGUUCCGACUCGAUAGCCACCUAUUGCAGUUCACCCUAAACGGCCAUUGCGGUCCUAUCACAUGUAUUCUCAUAGACCAGGCCGGCAGGCCGAGAUGGGAGCAUCUGGUCGCCAGGAUGGUGUGCUAUGUGUGUGGGACUUGAACUAGAACAGCUCCUACAAGACAAUGGUUACGAGAGUGUUCAGCAGGCCGUUGGUAAGGGAGUGGAUAAUUUUUAUAGUGUCGAUUGUUGAUAACAGGGUCAUUUAAUGGCGCCGCAAUUUAA